rnacentral:rRNA from 1 species
GAAACAUCUUCGGGUUGUGAGGUUAAGCGACUAAGCGUACACGGUGGAUGCCCUGGCAGUCAGAGGCGAUGAAGGACGUGCUAAUCUGCGAUAAGCGUCGGUAAGGUGAUAUGAACCGUUAUAACCGGCGAUUUCCGAAUGGGGAAACCCAGUGUGAUUCGUCACACUAUCAUUAACUGAAUCCAUAGGUUAAUGAGGCGAACCGGGGGAACUGAAACAUCUAAGUACCCCGAGGAAAAGAAAUCAACCGAGAUUCCCCCAGUAGCGGCGAGCGAACGGGGAGCAGCCCAGAGCCUGAAUCAGUGUGUGUGUUAGUGGAAGCGUCUGGAAAGGCGCGCGAUACAGGGUGACAGCCCCGUACACAAAAAUGCACAUACUGUGAGCUCGAUGAGUAGGGCGGGACACGUGGUAUCCUGUCUGAAUAUGGGGGGACCAUCCUCCAAGGCUAAAUACUCCUGACUGACCGAUAGUGAACCAGUACCGUGAGGGAAAGGCGAAAAGAACCCCGGCGAGGGGAGUGAAAAAGAACCUGAAACCGUGUACGUACAAGCAGUGGGAGCACGCUUAGGCGUGUGACUGCGUACCUUUUGUAUAAUGGGUCAGCGACUUAUAUUCUGUAGCAAGGUUAACCGAAUAGGGGAGCCGAAGGGAAACCGAGUCUUAACUGGGCGUUAAGUUGCAGGGUAUAGACCCGAAACCCGGUGAUCUAGCCAUGGGCAGGUUGAAGGUUGGGUAACACUAACUGGAGGACCGAACCGACUAAUGUUGAAAAAUUAGCGGAUGACUUGUGGCUGGGGGUGAAAGGCCAAUCAAACCGGGAGAUAGCUGGUUCUCCCCGAAAGCUAUUUAGGUAGCGCCUCGUGAAUUCAUCUCCGGGGGUAGAGCACUGUUUCGGCAAGGGGGUCAUCCCGACUUACCAACCCGAUGCAAACUGCGAAUACCGGAGAAUGUUAUCACGGGAGACACACGGCGGGUGCUAACGUCCGUCGUGAAGAGGGAAACAACCCAGACCGCCAGCUAAGGUCCCAAAGUCAUGGUUAAGUGGGAAACGAUGUGGGAAGGCCCAGACAGCCAGGAUGUUGGCUUAGAAGCAGCCAUCAUUUAAAGAAAGCGUAAUAGCUCACUGGUCGAGUCGGCCUGCGCGGAAGAUGUAACGGGGCUAAACCAUGCACCGAAGCUGCGGCAGCGACGCUGAUGCGUUGUUGGGUAGGGGAGCGUUCUGUAAGCCUGUGAAGGUGUGCUGUGAGGCAUGCUGGAGGUAUCAGAAGUGCGAAUGCUGACAUAAGUAACGAUAAAGCGGGUGAAAAGCCCGCUCGCCGGAAGACCAAGGGUUCCUGUCCAACGUUAAUCGGGGCAGGGUGAGUCGACCCCUAAGGCGAGGCCGAAAGGCGUAGUCGAUGGGAAACAGGUUAAUAUUCCUGUACUUGGUGUUACUGCGAAGGGGGGACGGAGAAGGCUAUGUUGGCCGGGCGACGGUUGUCCCGGUUUAAGCGUGUAGGCUGGUUUUCCAGGCAAAUCCGGAAAAUCAAGGCUGAGGCGUGAUGACGAGGCACUACGGUGCUGAAGCAACAAAUGCCCUGCUUCCAGGAAAAGCCUCUAAGCAUCAGGUAACAUCAAAUCGUACCCCAAACCGACACAGGUGGUCAGGUAGAGAAUACCAAGGCGCUUGAGAGAACUCGGGUGAAGGAACUAGGCAAAAUGGUGCCGUAACUUCGGGAGAAGGCACGCUGAUAUGUAGGUGAAGUCCCUCGCGGAUGGAGCUGAAAUCAGUCGAAGAUACCAGCUGGCUGCAACUGUUUAUUAAAAACACAGCACUGUGCAAACACGAAAGUGGACGUAUACGGUGUGACGCCUGCCCGGUGCCGGAAGGUUAAUUGAUGGGGUCAGCGCAAGCGAAGCUCUUGAUCGAAGCCCCGGUAAACGGCGGCCGUAACUAUAACGGUCCUAAGGUAGCGAAAUUCCUUGUCGGGUAAGUUCCGACCUGCACGAAUGGCGUAAUGAUGGCCAGGCUGUCUCCACCCGAGACUCAGUGAAAUUGAACUCGCUGUGAAGAUGCAGUGUACCCGCGGCAAGACGGAAAGACCCCGUGAACCUUUACUAUAGCUUGACACUGAACAUUGAGCCUUGAUGUGUAGGAUAGGUGGGAGGCUUUGAAGUGUGGACGCCAGUCUGCAUGGAGCCGGCCUUGAAAUACCACCCUUUAAUGUUUGAUGUUCUAACGUUGACCCGUGAUCCGGGUUGCGGACAGUGUCUGGUGGGUAGUUUGACUGGGGCGGUCUCCUCCUAAAGAGUAACGGAGGAGCACGAAGGUUGGCUAAUCCUGGUCGGACAUCAGGAGGUUAGUGCAAUGGCAUAAGCCAGCUUGACUGCGAGCGUGACGGCGCGAGCAGGUGCGAAAGCAGGUCAUAGUGAUCCGGUGGUUCUGAAUGGAAGGGCCAUCGCUCAACGGAUAAAAGGUACUCCGGGGAUAACAGGCUGAUACCGCCCAAGAGUUCAUAUCGACGGCGGUGUUUGGCACCUCGAUGUCGGCUCAUCACAUCCUGGGGCUGAAGUAGGUCCCAAGGGUAUGGCUGUUCGCCAUUUAAAGUGGUACGCGAGCUGGGUUUAGAACGUCGUGAGACAGUUCGGUCCCUAUCUGCCGUGGGCGCUGGAGAACUGAGGGGGGCUGCUCCUAGUACGAGAGGACCGGAGUGGACGCAUCACUGGUGUUCGGGUUGUCAUGCCAAUGGCACUGCCCGGUAGCUAAAUGCGGAAGAGAUAAGUGCUGAAAGCAUCUAAGCACGAAACUUGCCCCGAGAUGAGUUCUCCCUGACUCCUUGAGAGUCCUGAAGGAACGUUGAAGACGACGACGUUGAUAGGCCGGGUGUGUAAGCGCAGCGAUGCGUUGAGCUAACCGGUACUAAUGAACCGUGAGGCUUAACCUU